GAUGAACGCUGGCGGCGUGCCUAAUACAUGCAAGUCGAGCGAACGGACGAGAAGCUUGCUUUUCUGAUGUUAGCGGCGGACGGGUGAGUAACACGUGGAUAACCUACCUAUAAGACUGGGAUAACUUCGGGAAACCGGAGCUAAUACCGGAUAAUAUUUUGAACCGCAUGGUUCAAAAGUGAAAGACGGUCUUGCUGUCACUUAUAGAUGGAUCCGCGCUGCAUUAGCUAGUUGGUAAGGUAACGGCUUACCAAGGCAACGAUGCAUAGCCGACCUGAGAGGGUGAUCGGCCACACUGGAACUGAGACACGGUCCAGACUCCUACGGGAGGCAGCAGUAGGGAAUCUUCCGCAAUGGGCGAAAGCCUGACGGAGCAACGCCGCGUGCGUGAUGAAGGUCUUCGGAUCGUAAAACUCUGUUAUUAGGGAAGAACAUAUGUGUAAGUAACUGUGCACAUCUUGACGGUACCUAAUCAGAAAGCCACGGCUAACUACGUG
rnacentral:rRNA from 1 species